rnacentral:rRNA from 1 species
CCCAGACUCCUACGGGAGGCAGCAGUGGGGGAUAUUGCACAAUGGGGGGAACCCUGAUGCAGCGACGCCGCGUGGGUGAAGAAGUAUUUCGGUAUGUAAAGCCCUAUCGGUAGGGAAGAAAUUGGACGGUACCUGACUAAGAAGCCCUGGCUAACUACGUGCCAGCAGCCGCGGUAAUACGUAGGGGGCAAGCGUUAUCCGGAUUCACUGGGUGUAAAGGGAGCGUAGACGGCCAUGCAAGCCUGGAGUGAAAGCCCGGGGCCCAACCCCGGGACUGCUCUGGGAACUGUGCGGCUGGAGUGCGGGAGGGGCAGGCGGAAUUCCUGGUGUAGCGGUGAAAUGCGUAGAUAUCAGGAGGAACACCGGCGGCGAAGGCGGCCUGCUGGACCGCGACUGACGUUGAGGCUCGAAAGCGUGGGGAGCAAACAGGAUUAGAUUCCCUAGUA